rnacentral:lncRNA from 1 species
CCAGUGUUCAAAAAUAUCUUGCCUGACUUCUUGAGAAGUAACUCCAGGCCCUGAAAAUUCCUUCUCACCACACUGCACAAAAGGAGGCAUUAUGUCUAUGGGUUUAGAAGUAUUUUUCCAUGGAUUCCUGAUCUCACAUUCUUCAUUCUGCACGGCUGGAAGUCAUGCCUCAUAAAGGUCACAGGAUUUUGAGCUUCUCCUUCACUGAAAUCACUUCACUGAAAUACCUUGUCACAAAGACAGGAUGGCCACCCUUUUUUCUCACUCUGCUUCCCAGCCCUCCUUGUGGCCUGUAACUGGUCUCUGAAGAAAAUGCCUGAGCUGGGUGUGGAGAUCUACAUGGAAGCUGGCGUUGAAUGAUAGAAGGUGAAUACCUUCUCCUGGCUCAGAGAGGUCACUGCAGAGUGUCAUGGAUGUUCUCCAUCGGGAAAAGGGAAGACAUUUUCACUAAAGAUGCCUAUAUUGCACCUACUUUGUAGAAAAAGAGGGUUUUACUCUAUGAUGCUGCAUUACCACCCCUUCAAUAAAAUUUGAAAAUCUGCAAACUUCCUAAUCUUUGCACAAGCACUUAGCCAUGAGAUUUUUACUGCUACUAAUAGGAGUCUUUCAGCUAAAUCUCUACAUGUCUCUGUAAUUACCUACACAAGAAGUAAUGUUCUGUAAUACCAUUCAAUCUCUAUUUUCAUGUCAUGCCACAGUCUAAUAUUCCUCAGCCCAUGGCAAAUAUGCCUUCAGAAAAUAGCCUGAGAUAGGACAAAAUAAGAUCCAUGUUUAAGUAAGAAGCACUCAGUGAAACAGAAUCCUGUCUACUGACUUGAUACACCAGACCAUAAGGAUAUAAAAAGUGCAGGAAUGGUUUGUGCCAGAUACAGUCUCUAGUUGGAAAAUUUGGUUCUAAAAACCCAUGAGAAAAAGAACUUGUUCAUUCACUGAAUGAAAAAAAAAGAAAAGCCAAGUUAUUUGAAAUAAAAUGGAAACUAUUUGAACUAUACCCUUCACUUUAUUUCCAAUCAAGCUUACCACUGGAUGUCUAUAGAACAAACCCAAAAACACACAGAAAAUGAAAUGUUCAUCCCAAAUUGGAGAAGCAGCUUAUAGGAAAGACACUGAUUUGCAAUCUUCGUUCAGUCUCAUAGAGCUCUCUACUUUGUAGGAGAUAUUACAGUAAACUUCAAAAACCAGUCUAGAGAGCAGGUUUCUUAGUUCCAGGGUGUCCAUAACUUUCCUUGAUUCAUAUGGGACACAAGAAGCAAGAUGACAUUUGUUCUAAAAUGAUUGACUGAGGAUUUCACUGGAGGUCUUUUGCAAUUGACCUUCUGAGAGAAAUGCAGAAAGAUUUGAAAUGACUGAGCCGGAAAGCUUUUCCUACCC